rnacentral:pre_miRNA from 1 species
AAACAGCCCCCUAUGUUUUGAUUUUUUGACAGUUUUGGCCUCCCAAGGCAAAAUAAAAAUAAAAAAUUUGACACGUGGCACCUCACUUAGGGUGCCACGUCAGCGUUGACCGAGUCAACACUGCACUGGGGGUUCAAAGCUGUCAAAGAAUCAAAACAUAGGGGGCUGUUU